rnacentral:rRNA from 11 species
UUAAGCGACUAAGCGUACACGGUGGAUGCCCUGGCAGUCAGAGGCGAUGAAGGACGUGCUAAUCUGCGAUAAGCGUCGGUAAGGUGAUAUGAACCGUUAUAACCGGCGAUUUCCGAAUGGGGAAACCCAGUGUGUUUCGACACACUAUCAUUAACUGAAUCCAUAGGUUAAUGAGGCGAACCGGGGGAACUGAAACAUCUAAGUACCCCGAGGAAAAGAAAUCAACCGAGAUUCCCCCAGUAGCGGCGAGCGAACGGGGAGCAGCCCAGAGCCUGAAUCAGUGUGUGUGUUAGUGGAAGCGUCUGGAAAGGCGCGCGAUACAGGGUGACAGCCCCGUACACAAAAAUGCACAUGCUGUGAGCUCGAUGAGUAGGGCGGGACACGUGGUAUCCUGUCUGAAUAUGGGGGGACCAUCCUCCAAGGCUAAAUACUCCUGACUGACCGAUAGUGAACCAGUACCGUGAGGGAAAGGCGAAAAGAACCCCGGCGAGGGGAGUGAAAAAGAACCUGAAACCGUGUACGUACAAGCAGUGGGAGCACGCUUAGGCGUGUGACUGCGUACCUUUUGUAUAAUGGGUCAGCGACUUAUAUUCUGUAGCAAGGUUAACCGAAUAGGGGAGCCGAAGGGAAACCGAGUCUUAACUGGGCGUUAAGUUGCAGGGUAUAGACCCGAAACCCGGUGAUCUAGCCAUGGGCAGGUUGAAGGUUGGGUAACACUAACUGGAGGACCGAACCGACUAAUGUUGAAAAAUUAGCGGAUGACUUGUGGCUGGGGGUGAAAGGCCAAUCAAACCGGGAGAUAGCUGGUUCUCCCCGAAAGCUAUUUAGGUAGCGCCUCGUGAAUUCAUCUCCGGGGGUAGAGCACUGUUUCGGCAAGGGGGUCAUCCCGACUUACCAACCCGAUGCAAACUGCGAAUACCGGAGAAUGUUAUCACGGGAGACACACGGCGGGUGCUAACGUCCGUCGUGAAGAGGGAAACAACCCAGACCGCCAGCUAAGGUCCCAAAGUCAUGGUUAAGUGGGAAACGAUGUGGGAAGGCCCAGACAGCCAGGAUGUUGGCUUAGAAGCAGCCAUCAUUUAAAGAAAGCGUAAUAGCUCACUGGUCGAGUCGGCCUGCGCGGAAGAUGUAACGGGGCUAAACCAUGCACCGAAGCUGCGGCAGCGACGCUUAUGCGUUGUUGGGUAGGGGAGCGUUCUGUAAGCCUGCGAAGGUGUGCUGUGAGGCAUGCUGGAGGUAUCAGAAGUGCGAAUGCUGACAUAAGUAACGAUAAAGCGGGUGAAAAGCCCGCUCGCCGGAAGACCAAGGGUUCCUGUCCAACGUUAAUCGGGGCAGGGUGAGUCGACCCCUAAGGCGAGGCCGAAAGGCGUAGUCGAUGGGAAACAGGUUAAUAUUCCUGUACUUGGUGUUACUGCGAAGGGGGGACGGAGAAGGCUAUGUUGGCCGGGCGACGGUUGUCCCGGUUUAAGCGUGUAGGCUGGUUUUCCAGGCAAAUCCGGAAAAUCAAGGCUGAGGCGUGAUGACGAGGCACUACGGUGCUGAAGCAACAAAUGCCCUGCUUCCAGGAAAAGCCUCUAAGCAUCAGGUAACAUCAAAUCGUACCCCAAACCGACACAGGUGGUCAGGUAGAGAAUACCAAGGCGCUUGAGAGAACUCGGGUGAAGGAACUAGGCAAAAUGGUGCCGUAACUUCGGGAGAAGGCACGCUGAUAUGUAGGUGAGGUCCCUCGCGGAUGGAGCUGAAAUCAGUCGAAGAUACCAGCUGGCUGCAACUGUUUAUUAAAAACACAGCACUGUGCAAACACGAAAGUGGACGUAUACGGUGUGACGCCUGCCCGGUGCCGGAAGGUUAAUUGAUGGGGUUAGCGCAAGCGAAGCUCUUGAUCGAAGCCCCGGUAAACGGCGGCCGUAACUAUAACGGUCCUAAGGUAGCGAAAUUCCUUGUCGGGUAAGUUCCGACCUGCACGAAUGGCGUAAUGAUGGCCAGGCUGUCUCCACCCGAGACUCAGUGAAAUUGAACUCGCUGUGAAGAUGCAGUGUACCCGCGGCAAGACGGAAAGACCCCGUGAACCUUUACUAUAGCUUGACACUGAACAUUGAGCCUUGAUGUGUAGGAUAGGUGGGAGGCUUUGAAGUGUGGACGCCAGUCUGCAUGGAGCCGACCUUGAAAUACCACCCUUUAAUGUUUGAUGUUCUAACGUUGACCCGUAAUCCGGGUUGCGGACAGUGUCUGGUGGGUAGUUUGACUGGGGCGGUCUCCUCCUAAAGAGUAACGGAGGAGCACGAAGGUUGGCUAAUCCUGGUCGGACAUCAGGAGGUUAGUGCAAUGGCAUAAGCCAGCUUGACUGCGAGCGUGACGGCGCGAGCAGGUGCGAAAGCAGGUCAUAGUGAUCCGGUGGUUCUGAAUGGAAGGGCCAUCGCUCAACGGAUAAAAGGUACUCCGGGGAUAACAGGCUGAUACCGCCCAAGAGUUCAUAUCGACGGCGGUGUUUGGCACCUCGAUGUCGGCUCAUCACAUCCUGGGGCUGAAGUAGGUCCCAAGGGUAUGGCUGUUCGCCAUUUAAAGUGGUACGCGAGCUGGGUUUAGAACGUCGUGAGACAGUUCGGUCCCUAUCUGCCGUGGGCGCUGGAGAACUGAGGGGGGCUGCUCCUAGUACGAGAGGACCGGAGUGGACGCAUCACUGGUGUUCGGGUUGUCAUGCCAAUGGCACUGCCCGGUAGCUAAAUGCGGAAGAGAUAAGUGCUGAAAGCAUCUAAGCACGAAACUUGCCCCGAGAUGAGUUCUCCCUGACCCUUUAAGGGUCCUGAAGGAACGUUGAAGACGACGACGUUGAUAGGCCGGGUGUGUAAGCGCAGCGAUGCGUUGAGCUAACCGGUACUAAUGAACCGUGAGGCUUAACCUU